UGUAUGUGUGUGUGUGUGUGUGUGUGUAUAUAUAUAUAUAUAUAUAUAUACACAUACACAUACACACACAUACACU